GAUGAACGCUAGCUACAGGCUUAACACAUGCAAGUCGAGGGGUAACGAGAGGAAAGCUUGCUUUCCUUGUCGACGACCGGCGCACGGGUGAGUAACGCGUAUCCAACCUGCCCCCAACUAGGGAAUAACCUUGCGAAAGUAAGACUAAUACCCUAUAAUUUCCUCAGAUGACAUCUGACGAGGAAUAAAGAUUUAUCGGUUGUGGAUGGGGAUGCGUCUGAUUAGCUUGUUGGCGGGGUAACGGCCCACCAAGGCAACGAUCAGUAGGGGUUCUGAGAGGAAGGUCCUCCACAUUGGGACUGCGACACGGUCCAAACUCCUACGGGAGGCAGCAGUGAGGAAUAUUGGUCAAUGGGCGGAAGCCUGAACCAGCCAAGUAGCGUGCAGGAUGACGGCCCUAUGGGUUGUAAACUGCUUUUAUACAGGAAUAAAGUUAGCCACGUGUGGUUAUUUGUAGGUACUGUAUGAAUAAGGACCGGCUAAUUCCGUGCCAGCAGCCGCCGUAA
rnacentral:rRNA from 1 species